rnacentral:rRNA from 1 species
AUACGUAGGUGGCGAGCGUUAUUCGGAAUCACUGGGCGUAAAGGGUCCGUGGGGGGUAAAGUCAGUCUGAUGUGAAAGCCGGGAGCUCAACUCACGAAGUGCAUUGGAUACUGCUUUACUAGAGUGUGUGAGAGGUAAGCGGAUUCGUGGUGUAGCGGUGGAAUGCGUAGAUAUCACGAGGAAGACCAAAGGCGUAAGCAGCUUACUGGCACACAACUGACCCUGAGGGACGAAAGCUAGGGGAGCGAAAAGGAUUAGAAACCCUAGUAGUCC